UACGUAGGGUGCGAGCGUUAAUCGGAAUUACUGGGCGUAAAGGGUGUGCAGGCGGUUUUGCAAGAUGGAUGUGAAAGCCCCGGGCUUAACCUGGGAAAGCCAUACAUGACUGCAAGGCUAGAGUGCGUCAGAGGGGGGUGGAAUUCCAAGUGUAGCAGUGAAAUGCGUAGAUAUUUGGAAGAACACCGAUGGCGAAGGCAGCCCCCUGGGACGUAACUGACGCUCAUACACGAAAGCGUGGGGAGCAAACAGG
rnacentral:rRNA from 1 species